rnacentral:lncRNA from 1 species
ACACAGGAUUGAUUUCCAAAGACUCAUGCUAUGUAAGGAAGCCACCAAGAAGGGCAAAGAAAAGGAGCCAGGGACGGCUCUUCCUCAGGGACACUAGACUUUCAGGGAUGUGGCUAUAGAUUUCUCUUUGGAGGAGUGGAAAUGCCUGAACCCUGCACAGAGGGCUUUAUACAGGGAAGUGAUGUUGGAGAACUACAGGAACCUGGAGUUUGUGGUGAUGACCCUCAUAUUUGUCAUGGACAGCUUCUUAGAGACUCCCUUAUGGAGUGGUUUUACAUAAAACCAGAAAAUUCAUGAAGAACACUUUGACUAAUAAGAUUGAACAUCAUCCUGCUCUAGGCAGAGAUGCCCCUGGAGGCCCUGAGCGGAAUUGUCACCAUGGCCCAGGAUAUGAGAUAGAAAGCAUCACACUGACUGACAAGUGUUUCCAGCUGCGCUUGUGGUUUUGUGUUUUUUGUUUCAUUUUGUUUUUAUGAGACAGAGUGUUGAACAGGUUGGAGUGCAGUGUCGUGAUCUCAGCUCAUUGCAACCUCCACCUUCUGGGCUCAAGCAAUUCACAUACCUGAGCCUCCCAACCUAACUGAAAUUACAGAUGCAUGUCACCA